UGGGGAAUUUUGGACAAUGGGCGAAAGCCUGAUCCAGCAAUGCCGCGUGUGUGAAGAAGGCCUUCGGGUUGUAAAGCACUUUUGUCCGGAAAGAAAUCCUUGGCUCUAAUACAGUCGGGGGAUGACGGUACCGGAAGAAUAAGCACCGGCUAACUACGUGCCAGCAGCCGCGGUAAUACGUAGGGUGCAAGCGUUAAUCGGAAUUACUGGGCGUAAAGCGUGCGCAGGCGGUUGCUAAGACCGAUGUGAAAUCCCCGGGCUCAACCUGGGAACUGCAUUGGUGACUGGCAGGCUAGAGUAUGGCAGGAGGGGGGUAGAAUUCCACGUGUAGCAGUGAAAUGCGUAGAGAUGUGGAGGAAUACCGAUGGCGAAGGCAGCCCCCUGGGCCAAUACUGACGCUCAUGCACGAAAGCGUGGGGAGCAAAACAGGAUUAGAUACCCUGGUAGUCCACGCCCUAAACGAUGUCAACUAGUUGUUGGGGAUUCAUUUCCUUAGUAACGUAGCUAACGCGUGAAGUUGACCGCCUGGGGAGUACGGUCGCAAGAUUAAAACUUAAAUGAAUUGACGGGG
rnacentral:rRNA from 1 species